rnacentral:rRNA from 1 species
AGGGCAAAGCAGGCAGAUCAAUUUUCUUGCCACCGAAUACAUUAGCAUGGGCAUAAUGGAAUAGGACCCUGUCCUCCUAUUUUCAGUUGGUUUUGGCAGCGCGAGGACUAGGGUAAUGAUUAAUAGGGAUAGUUGGGGGCAUUAAUAUUUAAUUGUCAGAGGUGAAAUUCUUGGAUUUAUGAAAGAUUAACUUCUGCGAAAGCAUCUGCCAAGGAUGUUUUCAUUAAUCAAGAACGAAAGUUAGGGGAUCGAAGACGAUCAGAUACCGUCGUAGUCUUAACCAUAAACGAUGCCGACCAGCGAUUAGGAGACGUUGAAUACAAAACACCACCAUCGGCGCGGUCGUCCUUGGCGUCUNGUNNUCCCGUNGGGCGCGGCCCGGGGGACGGGGUGCGGCCUGUGGUGGCGGCGGCUGCACAGUGAGNCCUGAUNCCCACUANGUGU